UCGCCUUAUGGGCGUGCCUAUACAUGCAAGUCGAGCGGACCGACGGGAGCUUGCUCCCUUAGGUCAGCGGCGGACGGGUGAGUAACACGUGGGUAACCUGCCUGUAAGACUGGGAUAACUCCGGGAAACCGGGGCUAAUACCGGAUGCUUGAUUGAACCGCAUGGUUCAAACAUAAAAGUGGUUUUUUAUUACUAUAAUCGG
rnacentral:rRNA from 1 species